rnacentral:lncRNA from 1 species
CCAGGUUCAUCUUCGCCACCGCGAAGAUGAUGCUCGCGUCCUUGGGGAUGGUGUACCCGCCCAGAGAGAUCUCCUCCGUGACGGCGUGGGGAAACACAAAGUGAGCCGGCGGAUGUCUCCGGAGCCCCUCCAGGACAACAGCCUUCAGGUACGGUUUCUUCUGCAGGUCCUCCUCCUUCGUGAUCGCGCCAACUUCCUCCGCCAGUUUUUCCUGCACNNNNNNNNNNNNNNNNNNNNGGUAGGGUGCUUGACUACGUUCGCCAUUAUCCACUCCAGCGCCGUGGAGGUGGUGUCGGUGCCGGCGUUCAGGAACUCGGAGCAGAGAGUGAUGAUCUCCUCGUCGUUGAGCUUCCUCCCCUCCUCCUCGGGGAUCUCGAGGUCCAGAAGGGAAUCCAAGUAGGAGAAGCGGAAGCUGUUCUCCCCCGG